rnacentral:rRNA from 2 species
CCGAGUUGUAAUUUGCAGAGGGUGCUUCGAGUGAAGCCCCGGCCCAAGUCCCUUGGAACAGGACGUCAGAGAGGGUGAGAACCCCGUGUCCGGCCGGCGGCGCUCCUCGCGUGAAGCCCCUUCGACGAGUCGAGUUGUUUGGGAAUGCAGCUCUAAAUGGGUGGUAAAUUCCAUCUAAAGCUAAAUACUGGCCAGAGACCGAUAGCGCACAAGUAGAGUGAUCGAAAGAUGAAAAGCACUUUGAAAAGAGAGUCAAAAAGUACGUGAAAUUGUUGAAAGGGAAGCGCUUGCGGCCAGACUUGCCCGCGGAUGCUCAGCCCGUCUUCUGGCGGGUGCACUCUUCCGCGGUCAGGCCAGCAUCGGUUUGGGCGGCCGGAUAAAGGCCCCAGGAACGUGGCCCCCUCCGGGGGGUGUUAUAGCCUGGGGUGCAAUGCGGCCAGCCUGGACCGAGGACCGCGCUCUGCUAGGAUGCUGGCGUAAUGGCCGUAAGCGGCCCGUCUUGAAACACGGACCAAGGAGUCUAACAUCUAUGCGAGUGUUUGGGUGUCAAACCCGUGCGCGUAAUGAAAGUGAACGGAGGUGGGAGCCCUCGGGCGCACCAUCGACCGAUCCUGAUGUCUUCGGAAGGAUUUGAGUAAGAGCAUAGCUGUUGGGACCCGAAAGAUGGUGAACUAUGCCUAGAUAGGGUGAAGCCAGAGGAAACUCUGGUGGAGGCUCGCAGCGGUUCUGACGUGCAAAUCGAUCGUCAAAUCUGGGUAUAGGGGCGAAAGACUAAUCGAACCAUUUGCGGACCAGCAAAACUAGAUGGUUAAAGGGCCGCAAGGCCUUAGUCCUCACCAGGGCUACAUUGCCAAACUGCGGGAAACGCCUUUGUCUUCAGAGCACCGCCCCCUGGCCGAGAGGCUUGGGGGCACCUGGGCAGCGCCCAGGGCAGGGUUACAGCUCUAAGACGGGUCGAUCCGCAGCCAUCCCCCGCGAGUCCGCGCAGGGGGGCGGUUCACAGACUAGACGGCAGUGGGCGCGCGGCGCUUAAGAUAUAGUCGAUUCCGCCCCAAAAAGGGGCGCGGCGGGUGGAGGGAAGGGCUCACCCAAGGAGUGGUCUCUUCCCGCCAAAAACCUGCCGGGGGGUCUAAGAGCCCCUGGUUUAAAAAGUAGUAGCUGGUUCCUGCCGAAGUUUCCCUCAGGAUAGCAGUAACGUUUUCAGUUUUAUGAGGUAAAGCGAAUGAUUAGCGUACUGGGGGUUGAAACAACCUUCAACGAUUCUCAAACUUUAAAUAUGUAAGAAGUCCUUGUUACUUAGUUGAACGUGGACACUCGAAUGUAUCGUUACUAGUGGGCCAUUUUUGGUAAGCAGAACUGGCGAUGCGGGAUGAACCGAACGCGCGGUUAAGGUGCCGGAAUGCACGCUCAUCAGACACCACAAAAAGUGUUAGUUCAUCCAGACAGCAGGACGGUGGCCAUGGAAGUCGGAAUCCGCUAAGGAGUGUGUAACAACUCACCUGCCGAAUGAACUAGC